rnacentral:rRNA from 1 species
CUUUACUGUAGCCUGGUAUUGGGUUCGGGCUUUGACUGCGCAGGAUAGGUGGGAGACUAUGAAGCUGCCCUUGUGGGGGCAGUGGAGUCAUCAGUGAGAUACCACUCUGUCAAGGCUAGAAUUCUAACCGUCUACCGUUAUCCGGCGACGGAACAGUAUCAGGUGGGCAGUUUGACUGGGGCGGUCGCCUCCUAAAUGGUAACGGAGGCGCGCAAAGGUUCCCUCAGGCUGGUUGGAAAUCAGCCGAAGAGUGUAAAGGCAGAAGGGAGCUUGACUGCAAGAGCAACAACUCAAGCAGGGACGAAAGUCGGCCUUAGUGAUCCGACGGCGCUGAGUGGAAGGGCCGUCGCUCAACGGAUAAAAGUUA